rnacentral:rRNA from 1 species
UACGUAGGUGGCAAGCGUUGUCCGGAAUUAUUGGGCGUAAAGCGCGCGCAGGCGGUCCUUUAAGUCUGAUGUGAAAGCCCACGGCUCAACCGUGGAGGGUCAUUGGAAACUGGGGGACUUGAGUGCAGGAGAGAAGAGUGGAAUUCCACGUGUAGCGGUGAAAUGCGUAGAGAUGUGGAGGAACACCAGUGGCGAAGGCGGCUUUCUGGACAGUAACUGACGCUGAGGCGCGAAAGCUAGGGGAGCAAACAGG